AAAAGAAACCAAUACGGGAUUCCCUUAGUAGGGGCGACCGAACAGGGAUGAGCCCAGCGCAGAACCUCCCGGGCCACCCGGCCUGCGGCGGAAUGUUGCGUAAAGGGAAAGGUCGUAGUCAAACCCCAUGGCCACGCGAACUCUAAGUUAGCCACGAAUAGGCUAUCCCAACUAACGGCGGGAAAAUCUCCACGGAGGGUGUAAGACCCGUGUGGGCGCGUGUUAAAGCUGUGUGGGCUCGGCCUCUUUUCCCUGAGAGUCGCGUUGCUUGAACAUGCAGCGCUAAGCAGGUCGUAAACUCGAUCUAAGGCUAAAUAUAUCCACAGAACCGAUAGCGAACAAGUACCGUGAGGGAAAGUUGAAAAGCACUCUGGAGAGAGAGUCAAAAGACCGUGAAACCGCUCAGAGUAUAAGCCCAUGGCAGCUUGGAAGGCAUGUCGGUAGCGGGGCAUCUGGAAGCUUCCCUUUCGCGAGGGAGGUGGAAGGGUGCUACCCUGUCUCUUUAAUGGCUCGUCAAGGUAGGGGGGUCAAGUCCACAUCCCGCCGUCGGGUGGGGAGUGCCGUGGCGCGUUCAUGUUUGGCAGUCGGCUUGCCGGUUGUUGAGCUGGGCGUGUUCGGUGCUUCUUUAACCCGGACGUUCAGAGUCAGAGACAGGAUACGACAAACAGCCCACCACGGCACGUUGUGAGGUCACCCACAGGCUCGACUGUCGAUUGUGGGCCUUGACGAAGAGCAGCUUGAUGCGUGUUGCAAGGAUUCCUGACCUCUGUCUUGAAACACAGAAGAGGAUUGUGGAAGGACACGCGCUCAAUCAUGUCAGGUCCGGGCGAUGACUGAGUUCUGGUACGAUCCUCUGCGACGAGUCGCUUUCUGGCCUAGUUUCUGAUUUGCCCAGUGCUCCCGCAUGUGCCGCGGGAGCACACGUUGGCGGUCUGGACCUUGAGUCCUCUCAGUCGGGCAUCAGAACGAGUGGUGUAAAGUCCAAGCCCAUCGGUCACGUCUCGAAACACGGGCCAAGGAGUAUAGCAUGUGUGCAAGUCUAAGAGUUUCCCAAAACUCGAAGGCGAAGUGAAAGCAAGUAUGCGGCGGGUGAUCCACGGAGAUCCCGUCAGCUAGAGUGGCAACACUCCGGCUUUGGCAGAGUUGAUCCUGCAGCGGUACAGCACACGUACGCUCAGGCGCAAACUCCAGGCUCACGUUUGUGUGGUCUUCGGACUGCACUGUGAGCACUGUGGAGCAUGCAUGCUAUGACCCGAAAGAUAGUGAACUAUGCCUGGCGAGGGCGAAGCCCCAGGAAACUGGGGUGGAGGCCCGUAGCCGUUGUGACGUGCAAAUCCAUGGUAUCAGUUGGGCAUAGGGGCGAAAGACCAAUCGA
rnacentral:rRNA from 1 species